rnacentral:rRNA from 1 species
GGGUGAAGAAGUAUUUCGGUAUGUAAAGCUCUAUCAGCAGGGAAGAAAGACCUCGUAAGAGGGGAUGACGGUACCUGAGUAAGAAGCCCCGGCUAACUACGUGCCAGCAGCCGCGGUAAUACGUAGGGGGCAAGCGUUAUCCGGAUUUACUGGGUGUAAAGGGAGCGUAGACGGUGUAUCAAGUCUGAAGUGAAACCCCACGGCUCAACCGUGGGCUUGCUUUGGAAACUGGUAGACUAGAGUACUGGAGAGGUAAGCGGAAUUCCUGGUGUAGCAGUGAAAUGCGUAGAUAUCAGGAAGAACAUCAGUGGCGAAGGCGGCUUACUGGACAGCAACUGACGUUGAGGCUCGAAGGCGUGGGGAGCAAACAGGAUUAGAUACCCUGGUAGUCCACGCAGUAAACGAUGAAUACUAGGUGUUGG